rnacentral:rRNA from 1 species
CGUAGCGCUUAUGAGCCGAGGCGGGGGCGCCGGAGAGCUUGUGAGGGUUUGGGAUCGAAACCGCACUUGGGGUACAGCCCCCGCAUGCCUAGGCUGCUGAUGGCGCCGCCGCCGCCGCCGCCGAUGCCGCCGGCUCCGCCGCCGCCGCCGCCUCCACCAGCACCCGCGCCGCCACCCCCUCCUAUACCGCCGUCGCCACCGCCACCACCUCCUAUACCUCCACCACCGCCACCCCCUCCCAUGCCGCCACCGCCCUCUCCCCCACCACCACCACCUCCUCCGAUGCCGCCGCCGCCACCGCCCUCUCCACCGCCCGCGCCCCCACCUGCGCUUCCGCUGACCUGAACGGGACUACGUUCGACAGAAUUACACUUGAAACGUUCCUCCUGACUCACGUUAUUCACACCCCGUCAAUUGGGUUCACCUCCACCUCCACCACCACCACCGCCGCCCAUGCUAUCCAGACCACCUCCACCUCCCAUGUUAGCACCACCACCACUAGUACCAAGUCCUCCACCACCGAUGUCGUCUCCACUACCCCUAAUGUUGAGACCACCAGCACUACCACCACGACCUCCUCGUUCUCCUCCUAUAUUAGCACUACCACCAUCGCCGGCACCAAAACUACUGGUGGCACCACCCUCGCCACCACCAAUACCUUCUCCGGUUCUCUUGUUGGUUCCACUGCCACCGAUACCUGUCCGAGGGGGAUUUCCGGGAGGUAGGAUACCGCGAGGAGGUCCACUGAUGCGUGGCGGGGGUUCAAGGAUACCUCCGUUGUUACACAUGUCAAGUCUGAGACGUCACGGUGGGGGAUUGUCGAUACCACCGCCAGCUCCGGGAAUGGGUGGUUCGAUACCACGGGGUGGAGGCUUGGGUAUAUCACCGCCACGGGGUCCCCCCGUUCCUCCGGACGGUGGAUGUAUACUACCACCAAUACCACCAGCCAGACGCGGACCCCCACCUCCGCGUCCACCACGAGGUGGAAGAAUAGUACCACCUCCGCCUCCGCCGCCACCAAUAAGACGUUUACGACGGGGACUUGGAUGAUGUUUCCAAUUCGUCACACUACGUUUGACACUACUAAGGACGCUGUUACGUUCCUAAAUGUAGAGUUUGGACGGAGGUCUACACUGACAACUCCUUGACGUUCUCGAAAAACCUCCUUAACCGGUCCAACCUUCCUAGUUCGUUUUUGCACCGAUGUUUCUGGUCACCGGGACCUUGUAUUUUUAGAUGUGACUACUAAGACCCUUUCGGUUUCCUCUACGAACGGAACGAAUACUUCUAGGAAGACGACGAGUAAGUCGACCUCCUAAGAUGUUGCUAAUACUGUACUCUCCGGCAUUUUAAUCACAACACUACCGACUCUUUAGUCGUGGAUCUCGAGGAUGUAGACCGGUACCUCCGCCUGCGCCACCUCCGCCACCGAUACCGCCCCUGUCUGCGUCUCUACCUCCUCCGGUACCCGGAUUGUCUUUGGUCCCACCACCAAGUGCAAGCGCCGGCAUGACUUUUCUCAGUAUAUUAAUGAUUCUAACAGUAGACGUUCUUUGGUAAAUAUAAGUACAAGAGAGACCUGAACAUGAGUAUGUUCUCUAGCAUUCUCCGUCGACCUAUUCGAGGUUUACGACUAUACAAACUCUACAAUAAUGUCGGCCACCUAGUGACGACAUUCGAAACCUAAAACGAAACCUCUUGUCUGUUAGGACUUCGACGUCUAGGUCGAAGUCAAGUUAACCGAGACUAAAAGAAGUUAAGUAAAGAAAGGAGCAUACCAAGAAGUGCCAUUUGCCGUCGACAGUAUACUGUAUGAACUCAUUACAAAGUAACGUCGACAAUAUACUGCAUGAACUCAUUAUAAAGUGAAGUAGACCACUACAAAACUCGUUG